UUUAGGUCUGUAUAGGUAGUCUCAAAUGCUGAAUUAACCUGCAAGAAUCGGAACAAAUUACUGUGGUGCUGCCACAAAAGUCUGACACUCAUUUGCCAGGUACAUACUGCUGAGUAAGACUAGGACUCCGUAUCUUUUCCUUUUUUUUUUUUCUUUUUUCUUUUUUUACCAAGUGCACUGCCAUUUCAAAUCUAUUUAUUUUUUUCUGACAAUCAGAAAGGAUCUCUCCCACAACACACCUACAAGCAUUAAAUAUAUUCUUAGACUAUAAAGGCUUUUACAUUACUAUUAAACAUUGUUCUUUCCUACUCUCUACAAAACUUAUUGGAAAGAACAACAGAAUCAUUGGCCUAUAAUGAAAUCAAAAUCAAAUGCAUGUCAUAGGGCUUGCUGAAGACUACAAAAUAGUCUACAGGAUGAUUUCUAAUAAUCUGCUCCCAAGUUCUUGCUACAUCUUCUAAGCGCUAUCUUCAAUUCAAAAUCAGCUGGUUUAUGCUACCAAUUCAAAACCCUUAUAUUAUUUUGUAAUUACAUCUAUCUCAGGUAGAUUGAGCUUUUCUUACACUGGCCUACAUUACCCUGCAGGCUUAGAUCCCUAAAUAAUUUACUGGUUUAACGAUGUAUCACAGAUCAGCUGAGGUGAGGUAACUGUGUGCACAGCAGAUGAGAAGUUAAUUUGCCAAUUAAAGGACAGUGAGGAGCUUUUGUUCCUCAUUUUACUUUAGUCUAAGGCUAAACACACGUGCCUUGCCUUGUCUCUGGAGAUACCCUGGGCAAUCCCUUAACUAGCUUCCAUCCUCUGGAGCAGGAGUUCAGGCAGUUAUUUCUGUUCUGCUUUUUCCUGUUAUGUGGGCCAUGGCAGUCUCAGAUGUGAAAGCAUCAGCUAUUUCUGUUGUGUAUUUUUUGAAACCUUCAAACUUAUUCUGCUGGUAUGCAUGAAGGCAGGUCUGAAGGUAUUUUUCCACACUGAGCUAUUAUCAGCAAUAAUUAAUCUUCUUAAAUAUGUAACUUGGGUGGCUCGACUGCUCUCAAGAGCCCUGGUUUUCUGAGGCACCUGGGAGUCCAUGCAGCCCAUCCACUGGGCUCGCUCCGUAGGG